AGUAAAAGUCGUAACAAGGUCUCCGUAGGUGAACCUGCGGAGGGAUCAUUACAAGUGACCCCGGUUUACCACCGGGAUGUUCAUAACCCUUUGUUGUCCGACUCUGUUGCCUCCGGGGCGACCCUGCCUUCGGGCGGGGGCUCCGGGUGGACACUUCAAACUCUUGCGUAACUUUGCAGUCUGAGUAAACUUAAUUAAUAAAUUAAAACUUUUAACAACGGAUCUCUUGGUUCUGGCAUCGAUGAAGAACGCAGCGAAAUGCGAUAAGUAAUGUGAAUUGCAGAAUUCAGUGAAUCAUCGAAUCUUUGAACGCACAUUGCGCCCCCUGGUAUUCCGGGGGGCAUGCCUGUUCGAGCGUCAUUUCACCACUCAAGCCUCGCUUGGUAUUGGGCAACGCGGUCCGCCGCGUGCCUCAAAUCGACCGGCUGGGUCUUCUGUCCCCUAAGCGUUGUGGAAACUAUUCGCUAAAGGGUGUUCGGGAGGCUACGCCGUAAAACAACCCCAUUUCUAAGGUUGACCUCGGAUCAGGUAGGGAUACCCGCUGAACUUAGGCAUAUCAAUAAGCGGAGGAAAAGAAACCAACAGGGAUUGCCCCAGUAACG
rnacentral:rRNA from 1 species